rnacentral:rRNA from 1 species
GACGAACGCUGGCGGCGUGCUUAACACAUGCAAGUCGAACGGAAAGGCCCUGCUUUUGUGGGGUGCUCGAGUGGCGAACGGGUGAGUAACACGUGAGUAACCUGCCCUUGACUUUGGGAUAACUUCAGGAAACUGGGGCUAAUACCGGAUAGGAGCUCCUGCUGCAUGGUGGGGGUUGGAAAGUUUCGGCGGUUGGGGAUGGACUCGCGGGUUAUCAGCUUGUUGGUGGGGUAGUGGCAUACCAAGGCUUUGACGGGUAGCCGGCCUGAGAGGGUGACCGGCCACAUGGGGACUGAGAUACGGCGCAGACUCCUACGGGAGGCAGCAGUGGGGAAUAUUGCACAAUGGGCGGAAGCCUGAUGCAGCGACGCCGCGUGCGGGAUGACGGCCUUCGGGUUGUAAACCGCUUUCGCCUGUGACGAAGCGUGAGUGACGGUAAUGGGUAAAGAAGCACCGGCUAACUACGUG